UACAGAGGUGGCAAGCGUUGUUCGGAAUUACUGGGCGUAAAGGGCGCGUAGGCGGUCCUACAAGUCCCGCGUGAAAGCCCCCGGCUCAACUGGGAGGGUGCGCCGAAGACUGGAAGGCUUGAGUAUGGGAGAGGUAAGCGGAAUUCCUGGUGUAGCGGUGAAAUGCGUAGAUAUCAGGAGGAACACCUGCGGUGUAGACGGCUUACUGGACCAUAACUGACGCUGAGGCACGAAAGCGUGGGUAGCAAACAGG
rnacentral:rRNA from 1 species